rnacentral:snoRNA from 1 species
GUCAUGAUGAUCUGUAUUAAAUAAUAUAAUUCUGACACUUCUUGUCUGAAUAAACAUUGACGUUAACCAAUACACACUGAAAA